AUCAACAGCAACUCGGUCGUUAACAUAAUUGAACGGGAAAUCAAUUAGUCAAAUUACAUAUAUACUACUUGGGGAUUCUAAACUGAGAACUUUUCUGGAAGAUGGAAUAUUCAGCUGCUAAAAUUCUUGACAGCUUGUGAAGGACGGCCUGUGGUGCAAAUGUAUUGUUCUGUGAGCCAUAAUCGGGUAACUAGCGUCUCGACAAAUAUUUAUGACGGCAGCUCAUCGCUAUUGCAUCUCGAUGGCAACUGUCUGUUCCAAAAGAAGAUUAUUGUGAACCGGAUGUCGUUUUGUAUGCCCCAUCGAAGAUCGUAAAAGUUAGGAAUGACACUGGCUACCAACCAGUAACCGUGAGGACGUUGCUAGAUGCUACAGUAUUUCUUCUUUUGAGCUUGAAUUUCGACAUUACUCCUUGGGAGUAUAGCUUGCGAUAACUUGCGGCAACUCGACACGGACGACAAACUCGGAUUUAGUGAAUAAGCUCUUCAGAACUGCGGAUAUGAGAUGAGAUCUGCUGGGCCAAUAUUUAUCGCAGAUAUUAGGUUGUGACUACAGAGGCAGCUUAUACGAUCGUAGCUUGGCAGCAAGCCAUUGCACAUGACUCAACUCAGCUGAUAGAGAUAUAGUUUCAUCCAGGUGUAGUAGUGUACUGCCGCUAACCGAAAACCAGGCUAACCUGGAUACGGUAUCCAUAUACAGAUAAGUCUGACUUGCGGUUAGCGGCAGUGUAGGUUUAAAUACAACACUUCUAUUUCAGAACUUUUCCUGAAACGAUAUUUAACGUAACACAAAAUUACUCAGUUAUCAGCAAGUGAUUCUUCUUCGUGCUAUAAAUUGUUCAAAUAAAGAUAUUAUUAUU